rnacentral:rRNA from 1 species
ACGGCGAGUGAAGCGGCAACAGCUCAAAUUUGAAAUCUGGUCCCCAGGGCCCGAGUUGUAAUUUGUAGAGGAUGCUUUUGGCGAGGCGCCUUCCGAGUUCCCUGGAACGGGACGCCACAGAGGGUGAGAGCCCCGUCUGGUCGGAUGCCAAGCCUAUGUAAAGCUCCUUCGACGAGUCGAGUAGUUUGGGAAUGCUGCUCAAAAUGGGAGGUAUAUGUCUUCUAAAGCUAAAUACCGGCCAGAGACCGAUAGCGCACAAGUAGAGUGAUCGAAAGAUGAAAAGCACUUUGAAAAGAGGGUUAAAAAGUACGUGAAAUUGUUGAAAGGGAAGCGCCUAUGACCAGACUUGGGCCCGGUGAAUCAUCCAGCGUUCUCGCUGGUGCACUUUGCCGGGCACAGGCCAGCAUCAGUUUGGCGCGGGGGACAAAGGCUUCGGGAAUGUGGCUCCCCUCGGGGAGUGUUAUAGCCCGUUGCGCAAUACCCUGCGCCGGACUGAGGUACGCGCUCCGCAAGGAUGCUGGCGUAAUGGUCAUCAGCGACCCGUCU